rnacentral:rRNA from 1 species
UACAGAGGGUGCGAGCGUUAAUCGGAAUUACUGGGCGUAAAGCGCGUGUAGGCGGCCUUGCAAGUCGGGUGUGAAAGCCCUCAGCUCAACUGAGGAAGUGCGCCCGAAACUGCAUGGCUUGAGUACCGGAGAGGAUGGCGGAAUACCCCAAGUAGAGGUGAAAUUCGUAGAUAUGGGGUGGAACACCGGUGGCGAAGGCGGCCAUCUGGACGGUAACUGACGCUGAGACGCGAAAGCGUGGGGAGCAAACAGG